rnacentral:rRNA from 1 species
AUCUAACGGAUAAUAGUGGAUCACUAGGCUUGGACAUCGACGAAGAGCGUAGAACAGAGCGAAAUUUGUGGCGACGAGCCUCAGCCCUAUGCGAGUUGUCAAUUCUCGAAUACCUCAGGCCGCGAGGCCGCGCACCGUACAGAG